ACCCGGCCGUCGGGGCAAGAGCCA
rnacentral:snRNA from 1 species